GUCCUUUAGGAUUAGUAUUUAAGGUCUAACCUGCCCAUUGAUUAAUAUUUAACGGCCGCAGUAAUUUGACUGUGCAAAGGUAGCAUAAUCAUUAGUUUUUUAAUUGAAAGCUUGUAUGAAUGGUUGGACGAGAUAAAAACUGUCUCUAAAUAAUAAAUAGAAUUUAAUUUUUAAGUUAAAAAGCUUAAAUUUAUUUAAAAGACGAGAAGACCCUAUAGAUCUUUAUAUAAUUUUUUUUAAUUUUAUAAAUGAUUAUUUAAUUGAUUAAAAUUUUUUAUAUUUUAUUGGGGUAAUAUAUAGAUUAAAUAAAUUCUUUUAGAUUUAACAUUAAUUAAUGAUUUUGGGAUCCAUUUUUAAUGAUUAUAAGAUUAAGUUACCUUAGGGAUAACAGCGUAAUUUUUUUAGAGAGUUCUUAUCGAUAAAAAAGUUUGCGACCUCGAUGUUGGAUUAAAAAUUAUUUUAGGCGUAGAAGUUUAAAAUUUUGGUCUGUUCGACCAUUGAAUUUUUACAUGAUCUGAGUUCAGACCGGUGUAAGCCAGGUCGGUUUCUAUCUUUAUAAAAUUAAAAUAUUUUAGUACGAAAGGACCGAAUAUUAAAUAUAUUAAUAUUUUAGAUUUUGAUUUA
rnacentral:rRNA from 1 species